UGUUAGGUAUCUUAAUAAAGUACAUUUUUAAAGCUCGCAAACAUCUUAUUUAUUUAUUUAUUAUUUUUGGAGAUGGAGUCUCACUCUGUUGCCCAGGCUGGAGUGCAGUGGUGCGAUCUCUAUUCUUCUGUCUGGAAGAGCUACAGCUCUUACAGAUGUUAAAAUGACAUCUAACGGAAAUCAUACAUCCCUUAUUCUUUGUCUAGUUCUCUGGUCACAACACUAACGUGUGUUAAUGAAAAACUGGUCCCUAUGCUUGAAGAGUUCACAGGAAUAUUAUUACUACUCUUAUUUUAUUAGGUAAUUUUUGCAACAACUCUAUUAUUACUCUGCUUUACAGAUGGAAAAAUUGGGAGUUAGAGAGGUUCAAUAACUUGCUUGGGAGGGAUAUAGCCACAAAAAUGCAUUUAUAUAGAAUUUUUGCUGUUUAUUCUAAAGAAGUAGAUCAAAACCAGGCAAAAACUCCCUUCCCUCUUCCACCUCCCUUUUCAGGGACACUUGGCAGGAGGCAUUUUUGAUUGUUUUGGUUGGGGGGACAGUGAAGGUGGCA
rnacentral:lncRNA from 1 species